CUGGGUGAUGACUCCAAGGCGAAUGCGACCUCCGUGCCUUCUGACUCCUGGCUCCCCGGGAGGGAGGGGGGAUGGCUAGAGGGAUUACGAUGCUGGGGGUCUGGAAUCUUGGUAGGGGUGCCAGAGGCCUGGACCCUUGCUGUAAAGCCAGAUCAACAGAAUUGCUCAGGCUCCUCGGUUCCUAGUGGCUGCCUUCAGCCCCUGGCAGCUAUACUGAGCAGGGGCCUACAGGUGGGGUCAGGGUGAAAGCAGAGGCACUGGCUGCGUUUGAGCGCAAACCCCUAGAUCUGACA
rnacentral:snoRNA from 1 species